GUUUGCGCGUCCCCUGGGAUGAGGGGCUGUGAGCGGUGCUGAGGUGGUUUAGUCGCUCGUCCCUGGAAGUCUCCUGGAGCAGAGAAUAUCAGCUUCUCCAGGAGCUCUAGGCAGUGAGAAGAAAAUGAGAAUUACGGGAGUGGCUGCCUUCGUUGGUUGGCGUAUGCUUCUUCUGCAAUGAAUGCAAGUGUUGGGAAAGAAAAAAAGAAAGAUGGUCAAUCUGCAAAGAGUUACAUAUAUGCAACAAGAAAACAUAAAGCAAAAACCCCACAUGAUACAAAAAGGAGCUUACAGCGUGAGAUCCAAAAACUUAAAACAAUGAUUCUGAAUUAUUGAAACUUCAAUCAAGCCCUAAUGUAAUACUUGACCUUACAAUGGACCAGAAGAAACCCAGAUCAGAGCACUGCCAAGAAUUUAAGAAAGUUCAGUAAUGCAUGUGGAGAGAGUAAGUUUCCUGCAUAGGAACAAGCUGAUGAACAGGAAUGUAUGCUGAUUCCACACAUAAGCCUCAGCACAAAAUUAAAGGUAGGA